UACGUAGGGACCAAGCGUUGUUCGGAUUUACUGGGCGUAAAGGGCGCGUAGGCGGCAAUUCAAGUCAUCUGUGAAAUCUCCGGGCUUAACUCGGAACGGUCGGAUGAUACUGCUUUGCUAGAGUGCGGAAGGGGCAAUCGGAAUUCUUGGUGUAGCGGUGAAAUGCGUAGAUAUCAAGAGGAACACCUGAGGUGAAGACGGGUUGCUGGGCCGACACUGACGCUGACAGCGCGAAAGCCAGGGGAGCAAACGGG
rnacentral:rRNA from 1 species